GCACCUCAGUGGACACAAAAAAAGCCAAAGAAGAGGCCAAGGCUCUUCAUGAUGCUGGAGAGAACAAAUGGGGAACCGAUGAGUCUAAAUUUAUCGAGAUCCUCUGCCAGAGAAGUAUACCUCAGCUACGACAAACUCUUGUUGAUUAUAAGACCCUCAGCGGGAAAACUCUGCAGCAGAGCAUCAAAGGAGAGAUGUCUGGGGAGCUGGAGGAGCUGCUGGUGG